GGUAUGCUUCUUCGGAAGCAGAGACCGGCGCACGGGUGCGUAACGCGUAUGCAAUCUACCUUUUACAGAGGGAUAGCCCAGAGAAAUUUGGAUUAAUACCUCAUAGCAUAGCAGUCUCGCAUGAGAUCACUAUUAAAGUCACAACGGUAAAAGAUGAGCAUGCGUCCCAUUAGCUAGUUGGUAAGGUAACGGCUUACCAAGGCUACGAUGGGUAGGGGUCCUGAGAGGGAGAUCCCCCACACUGGUACUGAGACACGGACCAGACUCCUACGGGAGGCAGCAGUGAGGAAUAUUGGACAAUGGGCGCAAGCCUGAUCCAGCCAUGCCGCGUGCAGGAUGACGGUCCUAUGGAUUGUAAACUGCUUUUAUACGAGAAGAAACACUGCUUCGUGAAGCAGCUUGACGGUAUCGUAAGAAUAAGGAUCGGCUAACUCCGUGCCAGCAGCCGCGGUAAUACGGAGGAUCCAAGCGUUAUCCGGAAUCAUUGGGUUUAAAGGGUCCGUAGGCGGUUUAAUAAGUCAGUGGUGAAAGCCCAUCGCUCAACGGUGGAACGGCCAUUGAUACUGUUAAACUUGAAUUAUUAGGAAGUAACUAGAAUAUGUAGUGUAGCGGUGAAAUGCUUAGAGAUUACAUGGAAUACCAAUUGCGAAGGCAGGUUACUACUAAUGGAUUGACGCUGAUGGACGAAAGCGUGGGUAGCGAACAGGAUUAGAUACCCUGGUAGUCCACGCCGUAAACGAUGGAUACUAGCUGUUGGAAGCAAUUUCAGUGGCUAAGCGAAAGUGAUAAGUAUCCCACCUGGGGAGUACGUUCGCAAGAAUGAAACUCAAAGGAAUUGACGGGGGCCCGCACAAGCGGUGGAGCAUGUGGUUUAAUUCGAUGAUACGCGAGGAACCUUACCAAGGCUUAAAUGUAGAUUGACCGGUUUGGAAACAGAUCUUUCGCAAGACAAUUUACAAGGUGCUGCAUGGUUGUCGUCAGCUCGUGCCGUGAGGUGUCAGGUUAAGUCCUAUAACGAGCGCAACCCCUGUUGUUAGUUGCCAGCGAGUCAUGUCGGGAACUCUAACAAGACUGCCAGUGCAAACUGUGAGGAAGGUGGGGAUGACGUCAAAUCAUCACGGCCCUUACGCCUUGGGC
rnacentral:rRNA from 1 species